AAUAUAUGUAAAUAAAAGUUUCGCUUCAAGAGAAGAGACGAAAGUUUAUUUCAAGAUGAAGACCCUAAUGCUUAUUUUAUUGUUGGGAUUUGUACUUUGGUGUGACUAUGCAGAGGCUGGAUUAUGCAGUUGGAUAUGUCGCAGUGUGUGUCCGAUACCGGGAGUAUGCCAUGUGGCUUGCAAGCUGUUAUGCACUGAUCCAGUUAGUGUGAAAACUUAUAUUUUUCCUUUGCCAAAUCCUGAAUAAAUUGUUUUUCACAUUUUAGACUUUGUUACAGAAGUUCGGAACACAAAAAGAAAGAACAACAGCAUCAUGGGAGUUGAAAAACCUUCUUUUCUAUGUUGAUUUUCUGAAAAGGAGUGAUUGAUCUUUAAGAAAAACCUUCAUCUGUCUGUUUUGAUUGAUAUUUUUAUAGUGCGCUGUCUGGAACAGACAAUAAUGUAAUUUAAUAAAAGUUAUUUUCUGUUUUUAUUCAAGCUAAAAA
rnacentral:lncRNA from 1 species